rnacentral:rRNA from 1 species
UACGAAGGGGGCUAGCGUUGUUCGGAAUCACUGGGCGUAAAGCGCACGCAGGCGGGUCGUUAAGUCAGGGGUGAAAUCCCGAGGCUCAACCUCGGAACUGCCUUUGAUACUGGCGACCUUGGAGUCCGGGAGAGGUGAGUGGAACUCCGAGUGUAGAGGUGAAAUUCGGUAGAUAUUCGGAAGAACACCAGUGGCGAAGGCGGCUCACUGGCCCGGUACUGACGCUCAUGUGCGAAAGCGUGGGGAGCAACAGGGA